rnacentral:lncRNA from 1 species
AAUAGAUAUUUAUUUUAAAUUUUCUUAUUUUAAAUUUUAUACCCUAAAUUCUAAAUCAUAGACCCUAAACUCUUAUCUCUACAAGGUUUCUUUUUAUUAUUUUUCUUUAAAUUCAUUAUAUAAUGCAGUUACUUUUCAAUAUACAUGUAUAGUUGGUUAUGGUACAUUGAUUACAUGCAUAUUUUCUUUAUUAACUGUAUCUUCAUCAUUUAUCUCUCCAGAAGAUUUUUGGAUUGAGGAGUUGAAAUUUUUGAAGAAAACCCACCAGGCAUAUUAACUUUCACAUUAUUUUCUCGUCUUCCAUCAUCGAAAUUCAAAGAAUAGCUAGACGGAUCAUAUCGAAACAUGUUUCCGUCACGUGCCGAGUGUUUGCUAGUGUUAUUUCCAUCUUCCAGCUUUCCACACAUGUUUCCCAUUAUUGUUAAAGUCUUUGUAUAGAUUUUGGGUUGUUUUACGAAUGGUGCAAUUCGCUUGAGAAUUGUUCUAAUUGUUGGAACUUUGUCUGCUUUCUACACGUUAGAUAAUGUAAGAAUUGGUAAAUUAUUUGUGUUGGUGCUUUCAUAUAUAUAGAGAGAAAACGAUCUAGUUAUUGAUUUUGCAUGCCUCAUUAAUAUAUCAUUUGGUUUUUGUUGAUAAAGACCUUAAUUAACCUCAUAAAUAAAAAUCGCACGCAUUAGAAUAUUAUGACACAUAGUGUUAAACUUAUCAUGAUUUUAUCAUAUUCAACAGUUUACUAGAUUUUUUUGCAUAUACCGAUAUAAUAUAAUUCACAAGAGAAACUUGUAUUAGAAAAGAAGUUCAACAGAAAAAGCAAAAUAUACUAAAAAAUAUUAUUUUGCUUACUACAAAUAUAUUGUAUUAAUUUUUAGUAGAUUUGCUUUUAAAUUAAAGAUAAGAAAAAUUGUAUUAUGUGUAGCUUUCCAAAAAAAUAAAUUCUAUAGAUAUGUUGUUUUAAAUAAGCUUCACAUACAAACAUGAUAGAAAAUAUAAUCAUAAUUAAAAAAAAUAUUAAAUCAAAUAAAGAAAUUUAAAAUGACGACAAGAAAAUUUUGAGAGUAAAAUUUAUUGGAAAUAUGUAUAAUUAAAUUCAAAUUGUGACACACCAUAUGAUCAGUUUUUCACAUGUAUUCGUUAAUUUAUCAGAUUUUGAUAUGCAUACUAGAAUUUUCGUAAAGAAACAUGCUAUAAUUGAAAAGAUAAAACUGACUAUAAUAUAUAGAUAAAUGUACUGUAUGUUUUUUUUAUCACAAAAAGACUGUUAUAUUACUUAAGCUUGAUGUGGUUUAGAUAACUAGGCCAAAACAAAAUAAUCAAUAAAACAAAGACCAUGAAUUUUAAUGGGCCUUUUGUUUUCUUCUAUUCUUUGAGGGUAUUGAACCGAGUCCCUAAUGAUGUUAGACCAGGUUUUCAGACCGAGUGUAGAAUGAAGCGGAACCCACCUCCAACGAUAGUCAUUUUCUAGAAGAAAAAUAUUUUAGUAUAGCUGCAGGAAGUUACCAUUCAAUACAUAAACGUGGCUGACUCAAUUGAGAGUGCAUCAAGAUGAUACAGUAUGAUGGCAUAAACAGCAGCUGCUAUCUAGCUGCAGCAACAUCACAGGCCAAUAUCUGUAUGGGGGAAGAUAACACGCUGGAUUAUCAACAAGAAAUGGAGGAACAUAAGGAAAAAUAGUGCAUAUUUCGUCAAUUUCUGUG